GUGGGAACCCACUUACCUGAUCAGCUUCUGGAGGAUACUGCUGGGGUCUGGAAGUAUUUGUCUCUGCUCAGAGGGGACCACAAGUCCUUGUUCGCAUCCCUCUCUUUUUCCCUCCCUCCCUCCCUCUUCUCUCCAUUCUUUAUUUCCUUCUAUAAACAUUUAUUAAGACUCUACUAACAUGCACCAUGUCAGUCAGGAGAUGUAGGCUGUGGUGCGGUAACAAACAUUCCCCCAAUUUUAGUGGCAUAAGGUCGCGAGGCGUAUUUCUCACUCAAGUUUCUUGUUAUUGCAGGUCGUCCUGGGGCUCUGCUCUAUGUCAUGCUCACUUUGGGAAGCAGGCUGGUGGAGCAGCCACCAUCUUGCAGGUAAAUUCAUUUCUCUGCGCUUCAGUUUCUUCCUCCUUCCUUCCGGGGUGAAGACGGUGACACAGUAACACCCUCCACGCAGAGUGGUUGUCAGAAAUGCAUGAGUGGGCCGAGACUUCAUUUCGUUCAGGGGUCCCUUCUUCCUCCCAUGUGACAGCGUGAAUACCAGCUGUUCUGACCAGUCCUGCUCACCUCGUCCCCCCUUGCCCUGGGUUGGAUUAAUAGCAGCAGAUAACCCAGAUGUGGCCAAGGACACCUGAUGAGAUAUCUAUUGGGAGCUUCUGGGAAUGGUUUUCUUAAAACGAGACACAGAAGAGAAUCCACUUCCCUUAUUGGACACAGCUGCGUGUGAUGGCCGGCACCCCAGCCCCCACACUGAGGAAGCUGAACGGACACACUGAAAAUGGCCCAGCUCAAAGAGUGAAGCAGGAUAUGCCUCAAUCAACCCAUCCAUCCCCUGAAGCUGCGCUUGGAACCUCCUUGAGGAUGGUGGCUGCUAAGUGGCUCUUCAGAGCCUCCCCAGGCAUCUGGCAGAUGGAGGAAGAGCCCAGAAAGGCCUCCUGCUCUGCUUGGAGGAGGUGCUCACUGGCCACCUUCCUGCCACAUUUCAACUGUCAAUCUCAACAUUCUUAGGCCUCAUUCUCCUUCUCCAGGCCCAGUGGAGAAUGAUCCACCUCAGUGUCCCAAAUGCCAGGCCUGGGCAAGGGAGUGGGAAAUCCUUUGAAAUUCCCAGUAAAUAAAUAAAAAUAACUUUG
rnacentral:lncRNA from 1 species